rnacentral:rRNA from 1 species
CCUACGGGAGGCAGCAGUGGGGAAUAUUGCACAAUGGGCGCAAGCCUGAUGCAGCGACGCCGCGUGCGGGAUGGAGGCCUUCGGGUUGUAAACCGCUUUUGUUCAAGGGCAAGGCACGGUCUUUGGCCGUGUUGAGUGGGUUGUUCGAAUAAGCACCGGCUAACUUCGUGCCAGCAGCCGCGGUAAUACGUAGGGUGCCAGCGUUUUACGGAUGUAUUGGGAGUAAAGGGCUCGUUGGCGGGUCGGCGCGUCCGGUGUGAAGGCCCAUCGCUUAACGGUGGAUCCGCGCCGUGUACGGGCGGGCUAGAGUGCGGUAGGGGAGACUGGAAUUCCCGGUGUAACGGUGGAAUGUGUAGAUAUCGGGAAGAACACCGAUGGCGAAGGCAGGUCUCUGGGCCGUUACUGACGCUGAGGAGCGAAAGCGUGGGGAGCGAACAGGAUUAGAUACCCCAGUAGUC